AACACAAGCUAAUACAAUCAGACACACACACGCCUACACACACACACACACACACACACACACAAAACAGUGACUAUUAUUUAAUAGACAGAUGUUUUUCAUAGAUGCUCUCCGCCCUCUUCAAAGUACCGUAUGGCACUCAUUCGCAACAUCCCUGUCUAUUAAAAAGACACCUUUUACAUUUAAAAUAAAAUACUUGAUCGUACUUUUAUCCACAUUAUGCAAGAUAUAUUUACAAUAUCCAUUAGUGGUUGCAUUGUAAAAACAUAGUUUAUCAGUUAUUUUUAUUGUUUGCUGUAAAAGAAAUUCGUCAAAAUGAUCUUCAAUAAAUCAUUACCCCUAAACGCAUAAUGCAUAUCAAUUCAAUGAUAUAAAAUUCCAUAGUAAGUGUCAUAACUUAUUUAACAACAUAUAUUCAUUUCAGAUCAUACUGGUAAUUUGACGCCAGUCAAGCUCAAUCCCAACCUUUUUUCGGUUCUAGCGGCCUGGACCCUGAAUUUCGGACACACAUACAAAACAAGCACCAUCCGAGAAAGUGCACACCAUGCGCCUGCAAGAAACCUGAUCAGUUGUUUGUUUAUCGGGAACCUGACGCUCAUUUUUUAUCUUAAAACUGAAUAAAUUCUUUUUCUGUGGUUUGUUGUUUCAAUAUGAACCUAUGAUAGUGACAAUAAUGACGAAAAUAGAGAUCAAAAUAAUACCAGCGUUGGAGGAAACUUAUACUAAAAUGGUACCUGUUCGAGCACUUUCAAACCCAGUUUAUGUAUAAAUAAACAGUUCAUGAAAUUUUUUUAAUUAAAAUUGUUUUAAAACUGGCUUUGUAAAAAUAUGCCCAAUUUUUAGACCCAUUGUAUAUUAAAAUGUCUUUUAAAGGUUAAAAACCACACAAAAAAUUGUUUAAUGCUUUUAUAAACCAGCUUUUUUCUUUUCCUAUUUCAUUGAACAGAUCUCAAUGUUCUUCCUCAGCAAAUCUAUCUUUGCAAUAAUUGCAAGUUUCCUUUUAAUUCCAAAUUCUGUUCUGCAGCAUUAUAGUUUUUAACAUAUCUCUGAACAAACUUAAUUUUCCCUGCUAUCACUUACCUAUUAGGCUAAUUUUAAUUUUUUUUUUUUUUUAAUUUAUGUCAGUUUCAUUUUCGACAGUUUCUGAAUUUUUCAUUCUCACACGCAAAAAAAAAAAAAAAAAAAAAAAA